rnacentral:ncRNA from 1 species
CAGAGUAGGAACGGCGCGUCAAGUGCCCAUGGAUGGGAAGUUGCCAUGGGACGAAGGCGCAGGCAAUCAAAUUCAUUGCGUCGCGUUGCCGUAUCCGCGUCCGCUGC